CUGGCAGUCUUGCCUUCAAGUACAGAGGCCCUAAAUUCCAGAAUUUCCCACUCUAGCGUCUUCUUGACUCUACUUCUCUCUUGUACUUUAAAUUGCUCUUUGAAAAUAGCUUGUUGAGACCAAACUCACUGAGCCUGGUAAGCACUUUACCGAGGUUCUGGAGGUGCUCGUCAUCAUUUUUGUCAGUCACGAUGAUGUCAUCAAGGUAGCAUUGUGUUCCUGGGAUACCUUGGAGCACUUGGCCCAUUGCUCUUUGCCAAACUGCUGGAGCUGAUGCGAUGCCAAAGACGAAGCAAUUAUCCUGGAAGAGUCCAUUAUGCGAUACGGACACUCCACUGGAGUGCCAGGGGUGGCUUAGUGCAAAUUACAGGCUGGAGGUGGUGCUGCCCUCCUGUGUUCGCUUGGCAGAAGACAAGAUGUGUUGAGUUUGAAUGCAGACUGCUGCAACCUUCAUGGAUCAGGGACUUGGACUACAUUUUUUUGUGUGGCUGGAUUUUACUGCUGUCUUAUAUGUGUGACUUGUGCACUGUACUUUGCACUUUGGUCUUGGAGUUAUGCUGUUUUGUUUAGCUGUAUUCAUGUAUGGCUGAAUGACAAUUAAAUUUGAACUUGAUAUGGAUUGUUAAGCUUGUUGCACUGGGAGACAGAUUGGUGAAUGGAGGGAGAACUGGUCAAGGCGGGACAUGGAAGGAUAACAGAAGCAGAAACUGCUGGAGCUCGGACAGCAUUUACUGCUCCAAGUCGAGGACUAUCACAAUGACAAUGUUUAAAAGACAUUUCGACAGGGCGGAAGAAUAAACCAGACUCAAGGCCAGCUUCUAUCCCACUGUUAUAAGACUCUUGAAUGGACCUCUUCCACAUUGAAGAUGAACUCCUGACUUCACAAUCUGUCUCAUCAUCUCCAU